rnacentral:lncRNA from 1 species
CUCCAGCCCCUGACUGACGUGAAGUGGCCCCGUUCCAUCCUGCAGACAUGCACAGACACAGUCAAACAUCAUCAAACAUCAGUCUGUCAAAGAUUGGCUUCGAAUGAUCGGAAAUCCACUGUCACAGAUGCAGGCAUUGAUCGUGGUGGCAGUUUCUUCUCUCCCUGCUGUCGUUAUUGGUGUCCCUCUGGCUGGAUCCCAGAAUUCCUGGCUAUUACUCACGCUUACUUCCCUUUUGUGCAUCCUUUUCUCCCCUUGCUGCCACUGUCCAUCUCUCACCGUUUAUCUGCUCGCGCC